UUAAAUUGAAGAGUUUGAUCAUGGCUCAGAUUGAACGCUGGCGGCAGGCCUAACACAUGCAAGUCGAACGGUAACAGGAAGCAGCUUGCUGCUUCGCUGACGAGUGGCGGACGGGUGAGUAA
rnacentral:rRNA from 17 species